rnacentral:rRNA from 1 species
ACGCUGGCGGCAUGCCUUACACAUGCAAGUCGAACGGUAACAGGUCUUUCGGGAUGCUGACGAGUGGCGAACGGGUGAGUAAUACAUCGGAACGUGCCUGGUAGUGGGGGAUAACUACUCGAAAGAGUGGCUAAUACCGCAUGAGAUCUAUGGAUGAAAGCAGGGGACCUUCGGGCCUUGUGCUACUAGAGCGGCCGAUGGCAGAUUAGGUAGUUGGUGGGAUAAAAGCUUACCAAGCCUACGAUCUGUAGCUGGUCUGAGAGGACGAUCAGCCACACUGGGACUGAGACACGGCCCAGACUCCUACGGGAGGCAGCAGUGGGGAAUUUUGGACAAUGGGCGCAAGCCUGAUCCAGCAAUGCCGCGUGCAGGAUGAAGGCCUUCGGGUUGUAAACUGCUUUUGUACGGAACGAAAAGUCUUGGGUUAAUACCCUGGGAUCAUGACGGUACCGUAAGAAUAAGCACCGGCUAACUACGUGCCAGCAGCCGCGGUAAUACGUAGGGUGCAAGCGUUAAUCGGAAUUACUGGGCGUAAAGCGUGCGCAGGCGGUUUUGUAAGACAGUGGUGAAAUCCCCGGGCUCAACCUGGGAACUGCCAUUGUGACUGCAAGGCUGGAGUGCGGCAGAGGGGGAUGGAAUUCCGCGUGUAGCAGUGAAAUGCGUAGAUAUGCGGAGGAACACCGAUGGCGAAGGCAACCCCCUGGGCCUGCACUGACGCUCAUGCACGAAAGCGUGGGGAGCAAACAGGAUUAGAUACCCUGGUAGUCCACGCCCUAAACGAUGUCAACUGGUUGUUGGGAAUUUAUUUUCUCAGUAACGAAGCUAACGCGUGAAGUUGACCGCCUGGGGAGUACGGCCGCAAGGUUAAAACUCAAAGGAAUUGACGGGGACCCGCACAAGCGGUGGAUGAUGUUCUUUAAUUCGAUGCAACGCGAAAAACCUUACCCACCUUUUGACAUG